rfam:Eutrema salsugineum unplaced genomic scaffold scaffold_9, whole genome shotgun sequence.
AUGUUUCCUAGAGUUCCUCUGAGCACUUCAUUGGAAACACCAUUUUCAGUCAAAAUGUAUUCCACUGAAGUGUUUGGGGGAACUCUUGGACUCAU